AUUCUGCCCAAGCGGGGAAGGAUGAGAAGCUUCGACCAAGGUUCGACUUGAGCGCCAGCGAGAGAGCGUUGCCGCAGGCAACGACCCGAAGGGCGAAGCGCGCAGCGCUGAGUAAUCCUUCCCCCACCACUA
rnacentral:sRNA from 1 species